rnacentral:rRNA from 1 species
UACGUAGGGUGCGAGCGUUAAUCGGAUUUACUGGGUGUAAAGGGCGUGUAGGCGGGUUUGCAAGUCGGGUGUGAAAGAUUCGGGCUUAACCCGGAGAGGUCAUCCGAAACUGCAGAUCUUGAGUGCUGGAGAGGAUAGUGGAAUUCCUGGUGUAGCGGUAAAAUGCGUAGAGAUCAGGAGGAACACCAGUGGCGAAGGCGGCUAUCUGGACAGUAACUGACGCUGAGGCGCGAAAGCGUGGGGAGCAAACAGG